UGGCCACACACCUCACACACGAUGCAUUCCACACAUCUCCAGCCCUUCAGUAGCAUCACUUUAGUAAUCUAGAGGAUUGGAAACGGCCUUCUCAGCAAGAAGUCCCUGCCCUGUUAAACCUUGAGGAUUAAUGAUCUUCAAACUCAACAAUACCCCUAAAAUGAGACAAGUUAGGGGAUCCCACCGUCUCCAUUUGGCUUAACUGGUGAGAAUAUUCAGAACUGCUAUCAAACAGCAAGGGAUCUCAUAUAGAAGACUUGGAAAACUAGAAUGUGCUCUUAAAUGUAAUUUUUAAAAAUCACAAUUCAGGCUCAAACUAACACUUGAGGCUGUGACUCAAGUGGCCCAUCUUCUGUUUCCACCUAGCCUAGA